AGAGAGCGGCGGCUGUUCCAGCAUCCAGAGCAACCCAGAGGUCGGAGUAGCGUGUCCCGCCGCCUGCCCGGGCCCGGCUCCACCAUCCUCCCCCGCCACGGGCAGUCGGAACGUGGAAGCUGUCAUAUUCCUUAUGGUUCCAGCAGCUGGCCCAUUUGAUAAUGCAGAAUAGGACUGAAACUGUUCAGCUCCAGUCUGAAUGCAUGUGAAAACAGGAGCAUUCUAAACCUCUCAGCUGCUUGGAGGCCCACUGAGGUAAAUAGAGCUCUGCCUGGAUGCAGAGAUUUGCCUGUGCAACCAAGCUUGCAGUGUAGGAACUGUUAUUUACAAGUUUUUUAAAUGCUUCCACAGGACUUAGAAGUUGAAUGACAACCUGCAGCAAACUUUUAUGCUAGAGAUAACAAUCUCCUAAAAAACCCACCCAACAGCUCACAGUGGUUUAUACUCUAUAAUAGCAACAUUUACACUACCUUAAAUAUAUGGGCAUGACCAAGAACCACCAUAUAAUUAUAAUACAAAUAAAUCAGAGAGAGAAAAUGAACAAGGUUGAAUGUCAGAGUAACAACACUAUCCUGCUAAAGGUUUCGCUUUGUUGUAACCUUUGUAUCCAAUAUAAUAAGCGAGCUACAAAAGAAAGACAAUAUUGUUUAUCAUAAGGUGGCAUUUUACAAGUUCUAAAAAAAAGUAUGGUUUGCAUUCUCUGAAACAACUUUAAACGUUUUAUAUUGGAAAUAAAUAAUAAAGAAGCUGGAAAUAAACACUUUUAAAAUGCAGGGUACUGUUUUUCACCACACAUUGCUGUACAUAUUUGUUACAGGCAUAGGCAUCCCCUCUUGGACAGUAAGUAUCAAUCCAUGCACGUCUAAGCUGCAUAUUGCUGAGGUAACUAUCUGACAAACACAGCAAACGUAUAUUAUGAUGUUCAUCAUAGCAAAAGCUUUAAGAAUGCAUUGCAACUUCCAUCAUGGACCUGUUUUCACGGUCUUAUAAUUUUCUUAGAAAAUCACUAUUGGAGGAAAAUCUGUUCAUGACUUUUUAGUUAGGCAAAGGAGCAGGAGGGAGGGAGGAAUAUUUCCUGAUUUAUAAAAGAAAACACGACCUGGUCUAGGCACUACAAAGCCACCAGGUAUGGCAGAACACAGUUGGGACAGAAAAGAGUACAAAUGUCUCCUUUAUUGAAGUACAGAUAGGGCUACAUGCAGGGCAAACGGAGCCCCAGCAGCUGAAUUCUGUGCUCUCUCAGCAGGAGAUCGUGCAGUCUGCUGGAGAGAGUGAGGCUCAUGCUGCCAAUGGGAUCAUGGUGAUAGAGCUGUGGUUAACUCACCCAGCCUAUGCCCAGUUUAAAAAAAAAAUAUUAGGGAGCAGAGGGAGCCCAGACCCACUUCCUGAGCUCUGAGACUGUUCAAUCAAGUCUUUCAGGGAUUCCCCUGGAGGAAUUUCAUAAGCUGGGAGGGGGGGAGGAAAGUGAUGUUGGGAAGAAAUCUGAAGCAAAGUUUAAAUACUUCCAACUUACCUGAAGUAACAGAAUAUGAUUAUAAGUACCAGGAGUAUACUGCAAACUGUCACUGAGAUCAGCAAGGCCUUAUGGUGAAUGUUUCC